CCCAGGUUACACCUCCCCUUCCAGGCAGGUGUUAUCAGGCACCCUCCUACCAGCUUGGUAUGGAGUUGAGAAGAAAAAUUUAAUAGCUGAGCUUGUUAAUGUGACAAAAGUGGCCAUAACCAGUGAUGGGUGGACAAGUUUCACACAGGAUCAUUAUGUCACUGUCACACUCCACUAUGUGAAUGAGGGCCAGCUAAUGCACAAAGUACUAUCAACCCAGGCAGUGUAUGAGUCACAGAGUGGUCCAGUUGUAGCUGAAGAGAUAGGAGACGUGCUUGCAGAGUUUGGUGUUAGAGCAAAAGUCUUAGCCAUGACAGUAGAUAAUGCAGCCAACAUGGACGUUGCUGCACGAGAGCUCCAAAUCAGAAAACUUGGCUGCUGUGCACACACUCUCAGUACAAAGGUCUACACCGUCCAAACUGUCGCCAAGUGGUCUGCGAGAAUCCGGGACUGUGUUGUGUGGAUCAAGAGAUCUUCCAUUGUGAAGAACGUGGUUGAGGAGAAGCAGAGACUUCUGGGUAAGAAACUAAGCCUCUCAUUGUUUCAGUAUUAUCACUCAGACAGGAGCCACAGCAGGACUACGUAUCUAAACUGAUUACCAUGUGUGUUUCCAUAUGUUUCAGGCAUGCCUGUCUAUAAUGCUGUCCUGGAUGUGAGGACCCGCUGGAACUCGCUGUAUCUCAUGGUGGAAAGAUCUAUUGAGAUAUACCCAGCCAUACAAGCUGCCCUCUUGGACCCACGAGCCAAAAAGCUGAUGAAGUGAGACAGAGGAUGAGGAUGUGACGAUGUCGAUGACUGAAGCUGACUCCAGGGAGAUGGAGAAGAGGAUGAUGAAGAGGAGGAGAAUCAUCCAAAACCAGUAUCUGCACUGGGAGAACUCUUCGCAGAGGAAGACAGACAGCUGCAAAGACAGCUCAGUCGACAGCAGCAGAGUGCACCAACAACAGUCCGAGAGAGACUGAAAAAAGAGGUGGCAGUUUAUAGAGAUCUUCCCCCUAUCCCCACUGAACAAGACCCUGUCCACUGGUGGUGGGGUAAGAAAGACACACUUCCCUUACUCUCACAA